rnacentral:rRNA from 1 species
GAUGAACGCUGGCGGCGUGCCUAAUACAUGCAAGUCGAGCGAACAGAUGAGAAGCUUGCCUCUCUGAUGUUAGCGGCGGACGGGUGAGUAACACGUGGGUAACCUACCUAUAAGACUGGGAUAACUCCGGGAAACCGGGGCUAAUACCGGAUAAUAUUUUGAACCGCAUGGUUCGAUAGUGAAAGACGGUUUCGGCUGUCACUUAUAGAUGGACCCGCGCCGUAUUAGCUAGUUGGUAAGGUAACGGCUUACCAAGGCGACGAUACGUAGCCGAACUGAGAGGCUGAUCAGACACAAUGGAACUGAGACACGGUCCAGCGUCCAACGGGAAGCAGCAGUAGGGAAUCUUCCGCAAUGGGCGAAAGCCGGACUGAGCAACGCCUAGUGAGUGAUUGAGGUCUUCGGAUCGUAAAACUCUGUUGUUAGGGAAGAACAAAUUUGUUAGUAACUGAACAAGUCUUGACGGUACCUAACCAGAAAGCCACGGCUAACUACGUGCCAGCCGCCGCGGUAA